rnacentral:rRNA from 1 species
UGGGGAAUUUUGGACAAUGGGCGAAAGCCUGAUCCAGCCAUGCCGCGUGCAGGAUGAAGGCCUUCGGGUUGUAAACUGCUUUUGUACGGAACGGAAAGCCUCUUUCUAAUAAAGAGGGGUUCAUGACGGUACCGUAAGAAUAAGCACCGGCUAACUACGUGCCAGCAGCCGCGGUAAUACGUAGGGUGCAAGCGUUAAUCGGAAUUACUGGGCGUAAAGCGUGCGCAGGCGGUUUUGUAAGACAGAGGUGAAAUCCCCGGGCUCAACCUGGGAACUGCCUUUGUGACUGCAAGGCUGGAGUGCGGCAGAGGGGGAUGGAAUUCCGCGUGUAGCAGUGAAAUGCGUAGAUAUGCGGAGGAACACCGAUGGCGAAGGCAAUCCCCUGGGCUGCACCUGACGCUCAUGCACGAAAGCGUGGGGAGCAAACAGGAUUAGAUACCCUGGUAGUCCACGCCCUAAACGAUGUCAACUGGUUGUUGGGUCUUCACUGACUCAGUAACGAAGCUAACGCGUGAAGUUGACCGCCUGGGGAGUAC